rnacentral:rRNA from 1 species
AGAGUUUGAUCAUGGCUCAGGACGAACGCUGGCGGCACGCUUAACACAUGCAAGUCGAACGAGAGAAGAGGAGCUUGCUUUUCUGAUCUAGUGGCGGACGGGUGAGUAACACGUGAGCAAUCUGCCUUUCAGAGGGGGAUACCGAUUGGAAACGAUCGUUAAUACCGCAUAACAUAAUUGAACCGCAUGAUUUGAUUAUCAAAGAUUUAUCGCUGAAAGAUGAGCUCGCGUCUGAUUAGCUAGUUGGUAAGGUAACGGCUUACCAAGGCGACGAUCAGUAGCCGGACUGAGAGGUUGAUCGGCCACAUUGGGACUGAGACACGGCCCAGACUCCUACGGGAGGCAGCAGUGGGGAAUAUUGCACAAUGGAGGAAACUCUGAUGCAGCGAUGCCGCGUGAGGGAAGAAGGUUUUAGGAUUGUAAACCUCUGUCUUCAGGGACGAAAAAAGACGGUACCUGAGGAGGAAGCUCCGGCUAACUACGUGCCAGCAGCCGCGGUAAUACGUAGGGAGCGAGCGUUGUCCGGAAUUACUGGGUGUAAAGGGAGCGUAGGCGGGAUCGCGAGUCAGACGUGAAAACUAUGGGCUUAACCCAUAAACUGCAUUUGAAACUGUGGUUCUUGAGUGAAGUAGAGGUAAGCGGAAUUCCUAGUGUAGCGGUGAAAUGCGUAGAUAUUAGGAGGAACAUCAGUGGCGAAGGCGGCUUACUGGGCUUUAACUGACGCUGAGGCUCGAAAGCGUGGGGAGCAAACAGGAUUAGAUACCCUGGUAGUCCACGCCGUAAACGAUGAUUACUAGGUGUGGGGGGACUGACCCCUUCCGUGCCGCAGCAAACGCAAUAAGUAAUCCACCUGGGGAGUACGACCGCAAGGUUGAAACUCAAAGGAAUUGACGGGGGCCCGCACAAGCAGUGGAGUAUGUGGAUUAAUUCGAAGCAACGCGAAGAACCUUACCAGGUCUUGACAUCGUAUGCAUAGCUCAGAGAUGAGUGAAAUCUCUUCGGAGACAUAUAGACAGGUGGUGCAUGGUUGUCGUCAGCUCGUGUCGUGAGAUGUUGGGUUAAGUCCCGCAACGAGCGCAACCCUUACUGUUAGUUGCUACGCAAGAGCACUCUAGCAGGACUGCCGUUGACAAAACGGAGGAAGGUGGGGAUGACGUCAAAUCAUCAUGCCCCUUAUGACCUGGGCCUCACACGUACUACAAUGGCUGUCAACAGAGGGAAGCAAAGCCGCGAGGUGGAGCGAACCCCUAAAAGCAGUCUUAGUUCGGAUUGUAGGCUGCAACCCGCCUACAUGAAGUCGGAAUUGCUAGUAAUCGCAGAUCAGCAUGCUGCGGUGAAUACGUUCCCGGGCCUUGUACACACCGCCCGUCACGCCAUGGGAGUCGGUAACACCCGAAGCCUGUAGUCUAACCGCAAGGAGGACGCAGUCGAAGGUGGGAUUGAUGACUGGGGCGAAGUCGUAACAAGGUA